UAUGGUAAAGAACCUUUUCAAAUAAAAAAGUUGUAAAAUAAAAAGGGGAAAAAAAUCGUGACGAAAUUGUAAAUAAAAUAUAUUUCGAUUAAAUCGCUUCAAAUAUUGUUGGGAUGUACAUAUUGGGACCGCUAUGGUCCCAACUAGCUUUUUUGGCCAAAAGUAACAAUUGAGUUUUUACAGUUUUUUGAUUCGUCUAAACAAACACUUCAAAAAGAGCGGCCCACUCGCUUGUGAGACACGAAGAAUUCUUGUGUUACCGUUCAAAUAAUAGCUCCUCAAUGCUGCUAGCGACGUACGAAGAAGUAUAAAGACCUUUUUUAGUCGUUUGGUUGGUUCAAUGGAUGGAAGGGAUGAUUAGAAGCAA